rnacentral:rRNA from 1 species
AAUCAACGCUGGCGGCGUGCCUCAGACAUGCAAGUCGAACGAUUAAGACUCCCUUCGGGGAGUGCAUAAAGUGGCGCACGGGUGAGUAACACGUAAGUAAUCUACCCUCGAGUGGGGAAUAACAACCGGAAACGGUUGCUAAUACCGCAUAAUGCAGCGGCACCGCAAGGUGACAGUUGUUAAAGGAGCAAUCCGCUUGAGGAGGAGCUUGCGGCAGAUUAGCUAGUUGGUAAGGUAACGGCUUACCAAGGCUACGAUCUGUAUCCGGCCUGAGAGGGCGGUCGGACACACUGACACUGAAUAACGGGUCAGACUCCUACGGGAGGCAGCAGUCGGGAAUUUUGGGCAAUGGGCGAAAGCCUGACCCAGCAACGCCGCGUGAAGGAUGAAGUAUUUCGGUAUGUAAACUUCGAAAGAAUAGGAAGAAUAAAUGACGGUACUAUUUAUAAGCUCCGGCUAACUACGUGCCAGCCGCCGCAGUAACAC